UUAGCUAGGCAUGGUGAAAUACACCUUUAGUGUAUGUGUUGUGUGAUCUUUUGAUUGUGUUCUGACAAAUAAAGCUUGCUUGGAGUCAGAGGGUAGAGCUAGCUACUAACUAACCAUAGAGAUUUGGAGGACUGUAGAGAGAGGGACAGGAAGUGGUAAGGCGGGGCUGAAACAGGAUCUUAACCUUUCUGGUUGGAGGAAUGGAAGAGGUAGGAAGCUAUUGACAGCUGCUCCUGGUUCUCUGAUCUUUCAGGUUUUACUCUGAUAUCUGACUCCUGGUUUUUAUUGAUAAGAUUAAUUAGAUUUAUGCAUCAUCUGGCAUUCAACUUUUGGGGCACAAAAUCAUGAAGUACCUACUUGCCUGUGGCUUUGGAACCAUGGGCACCCACCAGAGCUGCAUGCAGGAACUGCAUUCCAGAACUAUAUCUGGCUUUCCUUUUCUUCGCCAAGCCCUCUGAGCAAGUCUGGGAUUUUCCUGUUGCAGCCUCUCUACAGCAAACUGCACUGGUGCCUGGGCUCCGAAUGGUUAGCCUCUCACCGCCAGCUCAGCCUUCAGGCAGCUCUGUGCUUUCACUUUCUGUCUGUCACACAUGCUGCUUUCGCAAUUCCCCGUCUGUCUUCCAGAUGGCUGACUCUUUGGCUUCUUUUCCCAGUGGGUUGUGGGCUUUCCCUGGACCCCUUCCUCAGGCUCCUGACAUGUGAUCAGUGGCAGCUGUCCUCAGCCAGGCUGUGCACUGCCUGUGUUCUCUGCUCAGAUGUGCUACGCAGGCAGCAGCAGCCAGCCUCACACUUCACCGUCAUCAUCAGCAGAUUUGGAGAGUGAAGGCAUCCAACUAAGGAAUCAGAAGACCACUGGACAAAUGAGACAUUUGAGAAAAAGGAUGAAUCAUCCAGAGAAAAUAUCCCAAGAAAAAGAGUAAACUGGCCUAUUGUUUUCUGCAGUGAACCAUGACCAUGCCUAACAGCGUCCUUUGAAAUCGUCAAAAGGAGGAUGGGGCCCCACAAUGACAAUUCCACCUGGACGAUGGCAAUGCCAUUAAGCUGACAAACGUCACCUAAAGAUCGUCUGUGGACUACAAACUGCUCAGAACAAUUUCAAGGUGGCUAGCUGAGAUGGUCCAGGCUCACAGACUACUCCGGCCAGGACUUUGACAUAAGCCCUGCACUUUCCCAUGACACACAGACAACAAAUGAUACAGCUAGCUCUUCCAGGACUUGACAAUUGUCACAUUUUCUCAGGGUCCCCUAAAGAUGCCGUCACUCCUAGACAACAGGAAGUAAUUUUAAGAACAUGACAUCCAACAGUCCCAAGAGAUGGGGUAGGUAGUUUUUGGUUGUUCAGUUGAUUAUGGAUAUUUGUCAUCAUUUAGGGGGGUUGGUUACAAGUUGCUAUUGGUAAUGGUCAGGAAAGAAGCUGAACAAAGGAGAUUAGAUUCAGGAAUCUCAUUCUAAAAAGAAAACAGGGAUAUAGAAAUAGGAUAAAGGGGUACAUUAUUGAAUCUAUUUUUAAACCAAAAAAAGCAACUACUAGUCUUAAAUAUUUUACAUUGAUAUGAAUUUUUGUAUAUUGAUACAAAUUUGAAAUUAUUUUUGUUAUACUGUAUAGAUGUUUCUAUUUUGUUUAAGAUGCUUUGUAUAUUGAUACAUAUUUAAGGUUAUUUUGGUUAGAACAUGCUGUACGUGCAUUUCUACUCUUGUCCAAGGUAUGGUACCUACCCAGCUCAUUUAACAAUGUAAUGUAAAUUUCUAUUCCUUGAAAGUUAUUACAAACUUUAGGAUAGUAAAGAAAUUCAGGCUAGUAGUUAGUCACUAUUACAAUCAAACUUGUAGUCAUGUUAGGUAUGUUUUCAAGGUCAAACAGAGAUAUACUUUAGGAUAGACAGGUGGUCUUCAAACACUUCAGAGACCUACAGAAUAUGGCAUUUGAGAUGUUUUAAUAACAUAGGUUCUUUUUUUAUGACAAUGAGACAUGUCUGCUGGCAGCACCAAUCUACUUCAGAAAAGAUUAUGGGCAUUGAAGAAACUCCUCAUGGAGUUUCUUUGUGGCAAAAGUUAGCCACUGGGGCAAGAAAGUGCUCUUGCCUCAACUGCUGACAGUAUGCUGUCCAAAUUGGACAAGCAAGACACAAAAGAAAGUGACUGCCAAACUUGGCCAAGACAAGGCAGGACAGUCCUUCAAAAAUCCUGCUUCACAGAAAAGUCUGUCAGCUAUUCUAGGUCUGUAGGUUGAAGAUGGAUGCCCCAACAUUGCAGAGGAAUCUUGGGUGACUGUCCAGGUAGUCAACUGUUUCUGUCAUUUCUCACAUUUUUUGCAAAUCGCUUGCUUACACUUCCUGCUUACUCAAGUAAUAUUAUUUCCUUCUCGUGUCUCUGAUGGAGUUGAAGACUAGAUAGUUAUAGUUUUCCUUGUGAACAAAUUCAGAAAAAAAAACCCUCACAAAAGAGGUGUAAAGUGUAUAAGGUUGAGAGAUAUGAAAAGAUAGUUUGGGUUGGUAAUUCAAGUUAGGAUUGAAAGUGAAUUAGGUACAACAUUUUAGACUCACCAAGAUAGUAUAGUUAAUGGAGUAUUUUCUCUGAAUUUAUCAUAUGCUAUGGACUAGACAUUGUUAAUGCAAUUAUUGCCUGUAUAUAUAUGAAUAUAGUUAUUGUACUUAUUGUAUAUAGUUUUUCUAUGUCAGUUAAAAAUCUUUGCUUUUUAUUUGGACAAAAAGGGGGAAAUGUGUGAUAUUUUUACUUUGUUCUGCCAAAUAAAGCUUGCUUGGAGUCAGAGGGUAGAGCUAGCCACUACCUAACCAUAGAGGUUUGGAGGACUGUAGAGAGAGGGACAGGAAGUGGUAAGGCGGGGCUAAGACAGGAUCUUAGCCUUUUUGAUUGGAGGAAUGAAAGAGAUAGGAAACUACUGGCAGCUGCUCCUGGUUCUCUGAUCUCUCAGGUUUUACUCUGA